UGUGUAGUCAGUCUAGAUGGGUGAAGAUGACUACAUGUAAACUCUUCUCAGGUGUUCUGUGGUCACUGUUGACUAUCAUCUCUUUAACCCUGUGUUUCAUAUGCACCACUGCUGCAGUUGCAGCAGUUAGUCCAGUCUAUGACUGUGUGCUCUAUGACACGUCGUACAUCUGCACUGGUGCUCAGUACCGCAUGUACUGCAACACAAGUAUACAUGAUUUCCAUUACGAUAGAU